rnacentral:snoRNA from 1 species
CUCUCCCAUGCUUCACUGAAGCUCUCUAGACCUUUCUGUUGAAACCCAGAUAUUUCAUUCUUGAUCUU